GGCACGGGGGUUUAGUGCACCACCUGUGUGCCAGGCCCCGUGCCAAAUGAGACACAGUUCCCGUUUGCUAGAGCUCACCUUCGGGGCGGGCACGAGACACUGAGCAGACGGACACGUAAAUACAGAGAGAGGAUGACGAGUGUGCGGCAGAAAAAUGAAUCAGGGUCGGGACCGAGAAAGAGGGAGGGCUGCAGUAGGGGGUGGGCUGGGAGGUCUCACUGAGGAGCACGGGCCCAAGUGAGGGGAGGGGGCAGGACACGGAAAAAAUCCCGAAGAACGGUAGAGGGACCAAUAAGGGCAAAAGUGGGGAGAGGGCGGGGAAACGCUUGGGGUGUUGUUUAAGAAGCAGCCAAAGGCAGCAUGGCCAGAAGGGAGGGUGGAGGCGUGGGGAGGGGAGGGGACCAUCCUUCAGGAUCUCCGGGGCUGGGGAGGACUCAGCAUUCCUGGAAGCAGGUGGGAGCCACGGGAGGGGUCUGGGCAGGGCAGCGGUGUGAACGACCGAGGCUCCAACAGGACUCUGGGAGGCGGCCACCGGUGAAGAAGACAUGCCAGUUAAGAUGUGGUUAUAUGGGAUGUGAUGUCUGGUGCCACAGCAGCCACUGGGACCCAUGAAGACGGGAGACGUGAAGAACCCAGAUAACUGAUCCAGGAACAGCCCCACAUCCAGACUUCAUGUUCUAAGAUUUAAUUAAAUGCCUUCACCAUUCCAGGCA